CAUCUGGAGUUCCUCCCCCUACUCUCAACUGCUAUGCUGCUUUGCCGAGUUACAUCAGGCCAGGCUUUCUGGAGGCACUGUUCAUGCUAAGAACAAGGAAAAUAAGAAAAUCCUUCAAACAGUCAAGCACUGUCUUUCCGUUGUCAAUGAGGACUAUGAGGAAGACUAUGAACAGGAUGCCCAUGAAUGUGUGUUGCUCCUCCUCUUUCAGCUGAAGGAGGAGGGUAUGGCAUUAAAGGGCUCACCAGAGCCAUACACCUGCCCCGUGAAGCAGUUAGAAUUCAAGCUGAAGACUUCCCGUACCUGCACCAGGUAACAGCUGUCAUUUCUAU